rnacentral:rRNA from 1 species
AGUGAACGCUGGCGGUAGGCCUAACACAUGCAAGUCGAACGGCAGCACAGUAAGAGCUUGCUCUUACGGGUGGCGAGUGGCGGACGGGUGAGGAAUACAUCGGAAUCUACUUUUUCGUGGGGGAUAACGUAGGGAAACUUACGCUAAUACCGCAUACGACCUACGGGUGAAAGCAGGGGAUCUUCGGACCUUGCGCGAUUGAAUGAGCCGAUGUCGGAUUAGCUAGUUGGCGGGGUAAAGGCCCACCCAGGCGACGAUCCGUAGCUGGUCUGAGAGGAUGAUCAGCCACACUGGAACUGAGACACGGUCCAGACUCCUACGGGAGGCAGCAGUGGGGAAUAUUGGACAAUGGGCGCAAGCCUGAUCCAGCCAUACCGCGUGGGUGAAGAAGGCCUUCGGGUUGUAAAGCCCUUUUGUUGGGAAAGAAAAGCAGCAGGUUAAGACCCCGCUGUUCUGACGGUACCCAAAGAAUAAGCACCGGCUAACUUCGUG